rnacentral:lncRNA from 1 species
CGAGAUCGCACCACUGCACUCCAGCUUGGGGAACAAAGUAAGACUCUGUCUCAAAACAAACAAACAAACAAAACCCCAAACAACUACAACCAAAAAACAGCAGUCAAGAGAGUUGUGCUUUUUGUGGAGGAAGGUGCGAAGCCAGUGAAAUUGAAAAUAACUCACAGGACUCUGGUGUCAUCUCCUGUCAGCCUUUGGUUGAAAGCACUUGGAAACUUGGGUGGCUGAUAUUCUCCAGAGGCAGAAAAAUGUUCCCAGCCGAGAGAGGCCAUCUCCAGCAGGUCCUGAGUGUCAGGAAUUCAGAUUCUCUGCCCCACUCCUGCUGGAUAGGAGGACACUUCCACUAGAACCUGGGCCUGGCCCCUUUCCAGUUUUCUGCUGGGAGUCCGGAUUCUGGUGCUUUGCUCCGAAGCAGUGCCCGUGGGCCUCCGGGCCUGGCUCAUCAUCACAGCUUCUCUGCUCAGUGAGGAGACCAUCAUUGUGCUGCUUUUCUGAUGCCUUCCAUUUGCCUUUUUCUCCACUUGGGAAAAACAAAAAAAGCUAGUAUGCUACAUCCUGAAAAGUUGUUAAUCCUUCACCACCACAUACAUUGAAAAAUCAGUUCCUGCCGGGAAGUACCACUAAAGGCAUAUUGUAAACUUUUUUUCUAAUUGGAAAGGUAAACUUUUUUCCCCCAUAACUAUUUUUCGUGUGAAGGAAGUAACUGACCUCUUGAGUCAGAGAUGGCACUCGAGUUUUUCCCCAUGGGUCUUGCCUGCUACACUCCUGGCCACCCUUUCUGUGGGGCUUGACCAAAUGGACCACACUGGCCAGCCUGACAAACCCACCAGAACCAAAAGAAAAGCUGGAUGUGGGAAAGGGCUGAAGAACUCCACGUGUCUAAAGGGCAAAGAGAUCCUGGGUUGAGAAGAGGAGUUUCAGAUUUCCAAUGGAGAAAGAGAGGCGGAGGUUGCAGUGAGCCGAGAUCGUAACACUGCACUCGAGCCUGAUGACAGUGAGACCCUG